rnacentral:rRNA from 1 species
UACGUAGGUGGCAAGCGUUGUCCGGAUUUAUUGGGUUUAAAGGGUGCGUAGGCGGCUUUGUAAGUCAGUGGUGAAAUAUGGCAGCAUAACUGUCAGGGUGCCAUUGAUACUGCGGAGCUUGAGUACAGAUGAGGUAGGCGGAAUUGACGGUGUAGCGGUGAAAUGCUUAGAUAUCGUCAAGAACACCUAUAGCGAAGGCAGCUUACUAGGCUGUAACUGACGCUGAGGCACGAAAGUGUGGGGAUCAAACAGG